UACGUAGGGUGCGAGCGUUAAUCGGAAUUACUGGGCGUAAAGCGUGCGCAGGCGGUUUUUUAAGCCAGAUGUGAAAUCCCCGGGCUUAACCUGGGAAUGGCAUUUGGGACUGCAAGGCUGGAGUUUGGCAGAGGAGACUGGAAUUCCUGGUGUAGCAGUGAAAUGCGUAGAUAUCAGGAGGAACACCGGUGGCGAAGGCGGAUCUCUGGGCCAUUACUGACGCUGAGGAGCGAAAGCGUGGGGAGCAAACAGG
rnacentral:rRNA from 1 species